rnacentral:rRNA from 1 species
ACUCCUACGGGAGGCAGCAGUGGGGGAAUAUUGCACAAUGGGGGAAACCCUGAUGCAGCCAUGCCGCGUGUGUGAAGAAGGCCUUCGGUUGUAAAGCACUUCAGUAGGGAGGAAGGUAGUGUAGUUAACACCUGCAUUAUUUGACGUUACCUACAGAAGAAGCACCGGCUAACUCCGUGCCAGCAGCCGCGGUAAUACGGAGGGGUGCGAGCGUUAAUCGGAAUUACUGGGCGUAAAGCGCAUGCAGGCGGCCUGUUAAGUCAGAUGUGAAAGCCCGGGGGCUUAACCUCGGAAUUGCAUUUGAAACUGGCAGGCUAGAGUCUUGUAGAGGGGGUAGAAUUUCAGGUGUAGCGGUGAAAUGCGUAGAGAUCUGAAGGAAUACCAGUGGCGAAGGCGGCCCCCUGGACAAAGACUGACGCUCAGAUGCGAAAGCGUGGGGAGCAAACAGGAUUAGAUACCCUGGUAGACUGUCA